rnacentral:lncRNA from 1 species
AUGUCGAAUGACCAGCGGAUAAACUCUCAGGCUGAAGUUGUCGGGUCACCUCCUAAAUCGACCAUCUUUUACAGGUGUUUUGUGCCAGAAAUGGAGUGUCCACUGAAGACUGAAGAUACUGAAUCUCUAUGCCGUGCCAUUGAUCCCUCCUGUGCCUUCAUCUAGACAAGAGACAUCAACUUAACCACUCUCACAUGCUCUGUACCUACAUCACCUUCCCUGACAGUCGUAGCUUGGCUCAUCUGAGGGUGAAAUUAUAAGAAUGUGUUAUUUUGCAGAGUGCUCUCGGGUUCCUAAAUAAAAUAUGGCAUUUAGGUCAUUUCUUUUGAAUUAAUCCCUUCUUCUGAAAUAUAAGAACCUCUCCUGGUUUUAUUGGCACUUUCUGUUCCACUCCCAACCUCAAAUAGAUGCUGACAAGCUGACACAGUAACAUGGAAGAGGGAAAGAAGUUGGAAAGGACUACUACAAAUAAACCCAAUGCUUAACAAUGAAAAAUGUAAAAUAAGAACAAUAAUAAUAAUAAAGAUAAAAGAUGAAGUAACAAGUUUUUAGUUUUUAGUUUAUUCCAAAUGAUCAUCCAGAUGUCUGUGACAUGUGAUGACAAACACCAUAAUGGAAGGCCUUUGUCAUCACAUGCUUAAACUCAUCAUAUAUUUUUGCAUAUGCUGAACAGGCAGUCAGACAUGCUGUAACUGUGGGGUAGAAAACUGCAUGAACACCAUACGGCAGGGGUCUCAAACUCCAGCCCACUGGAGUUUGAGACCCCUGUCAUAUUCCAUAUGACAGGUGUGGUUGAACUGCAUGAAGACUGAAGUUUCUCUUCUCUUCUGGCAGGACAGGAAUGUGGCCUUGUCCUGUGAGCCACCAUAAGGAUGUACUUAGAGUAGAACUGGACUGUCACCGGCCUCAGGCUCUUCACCUUUUCAAAGACAAAGCAGUCAUUUAGAUCAAAUAUUAGAUAUUGUUUACCUGUAAAUGCACAAAGAGAAUUUAGAAAUGUAAUUAUUGUCAAGAGUGAACAAGCACUACAGCUGUGGCCAAAAGUUGAGAGAACGAGAAGUGUUGUUUGUUUAUUUACAAAGUUUGCUUGUUUCAGUGAUAGUUGUAUAUCAUAUUAUAUCACUUUAAACAGGUGACUGCAGGAGCAAAUAAUUAUAACAAAAACAGCAUUACAGGAAAAGGUGCAGAAGUAGCAUUACAUGAGAGAGUGCAAAAGUGGAACACUAACAGCCAUCUAACACAUCUUGAUAAGUAUAGAUCAAAAAGCAGAACUAGGAAGAGAGCUUGAUGCGCUUAGAGACCCCACAAACUCACGCUCAUAGAAAAUGAGGCUAUGUGCAGAGAAAGGGAGACAGAGUGGAUGUGCAGAACCAUAAAAGGCGAGAUGAAUUGAUGUGUAAGACAAUAAAAGGAAAAGAUAAGAAUUUCAAAGGACGAGGGAGAUGUUUUGUUUGAAACUGAUUUGGUGCAUGAACGCAGAGUACUGAAUGAGGAACCACAAAGAAGUAUCAAUGUAACAAACUGAGGGAGCGCCCCUCGGAUCAGCAGGAGGCUUUUGCACUGUGCACAUCCCCCGUGUACAUGGAAGAAUAAAGAAGCUGCUGAACUGAAAAGUCUGUCUUGAGUCUUGUGUUUUUUUGUUUUUUGUUUUUUGUUUUUACCAGGUCAGAAUCCAAGUAUCGGGGUGACAGCUGGUCGCCAACAGGUCCCCAAGUCGUUUGGUACCGAGCUGCGAGAGUUGAGGCUCGGGUGUGGAAUUUAUGGUUUUCAGGGUUUUUAUCGUUAACUCAGUUUCCCUGGGUCUUUUCCCAUGUUGUAGUUGUGUCUUAUUUUGAAAGAAAUAUUUAAGCAUUACCAUAGCGACCGGAGAGCAUUGAGGGGCAGAGAGGAGGAUGGUACUCUCAAUGCUGUUUGCACAUUUUCAGGAGGACACUGCUAAUAAAGUUAUACAAUUGUUAUACAAUAUAAUAAUAAAUGUGAAUUCACGUUUUGUAAAAUGGCCUGCAUUUGUAUAGCACUUUACUUAGUCCCUAAGGACCCGAAAGCGCUUUACACUACAUUCAGUCAUUCACACACUGGUGAUGGCAAGCUACAUUGUAGCCACAGCCACCCUGGGGCGCACUGACGGAGGCGAGGCUGCUGGACACUGGCGCCACCGGGCCCUCUGACCACCACCAGUAGGCAAACAUGGGGUUAGGAUCUUGCCCAAGGAUAUUUGGCAUGCAGCCUGGAGCAGCCUGGGAUCGAACCCCCGACCUUCUGAUUAGUGGCUGACCUGCUCUGCCACCUGAGCUACAGCCACCCCCGAUAUUUCAUUAUAUUUACAAAAUGCCACCGUUUUUGUCUUGGUCGUAUCAUUUUAUUUUGUUGUAUUUUUCUGUGACACCUUAAAGGCCGCUCCAUAUCUGACAUUAAACUGAUCUGUGGCGCAAACAAGGUUGGGGACCGCUGCCAUACAGCAUGAGAGUUAAUAAAAUUGUACUCAUUUAAAUAUGAUGUGUAAAUUGAUUUAUUCUUGUAUCUCCACGCCACAGUGACCCAAUUGUUCACCCCAGUGAAGAGGUGAUCGUUUUCUCCUCGUUUUAAUAAAUUUGAUCGUCUGAUAAUCAAAAAAUCAAAAUUAUCAGAGAAAAAUUCUCCUGUAUGGGCUGCAAUGAAUCCUGGGAUAUGGUAGGACAUGAAGGAUACACCAGACCCAUCCUUCAAAUUGGGGGAAAUGGACGCAUUUGUUGCCACAUUUGGAGGACUCUUUGAAUUUGGACAGCCUACGUCACGUCACUGUGAUGUCAUUGCCUCCAAAUACGGCAUGUGAAGCAUCCUUCCCCUGAAUUUGGACACAGCCACUGUGAGAGGAGACAGAGGGGAAGAGUCAUCAACACAAGAGGUCAAAGGUCAGUCAGUACAGCUAGAAGAAGAAAAAUCUGUUAAAUUAGAUUUAAACAAAUUUUUGAAACAGUUUUAUAGUUACAGAGGUUUUCUUAUUCUCUAGAGGGAAAAACAAGAUUUGUUUCAUGUGAAUGUUCAGAAAAUAAUCAAGGAAAAUAUCAUCAAAUUAAGGCAGCACGAUUUUCAAUACAGUUUCAAAGAUAAAAGAGACGUUAUGAAAAUUUGACCUUGAAGAAGAGGUCAGGGGUCCAAAGUAAUAUGAUAUUUACAUAUUAUACAUACACAGCAAUACAUAUUUGCUGUCUAUACAAACAAUGGAAGUAAGAAACAGUUGUACACACACACACAAAGUUUGAGACCGGCUGUAACGACCUGAAAGCGGUUGAGUGACGUCACUCUUUGAACUCCCCCCUGAAUCCUGCCCUAUGAUAAUAUUUUAAUUCAAAAAGAAAAAAAAGUUCUGAUUGAAAAAGUCAGAUUUUUCCCCACUUGAACUUUUCAGAUGAAGGAAUUUUCUCAGAUUUUCAUAAUUAGACACAGAGACACUGACACAAAGUUUCUCCUGACAGUAAAACUCAAACUUUUCUUCUUUUUGAACUCAGUCUGAGUAAAUGUGCCAGAGACAGUUUGAGUUUGCUUACAAACACAGAGCAUCAGGAAGGACACAAACAGAGAUAAAGAUGAAAUACUUACUGUUGUUGGUUCAUUCUCUUUAGGAUGAUGUUUGGUUUCCUCAUAGUGUGGACACAAACUUCAGAUACGAUGCAGACCUGUCAGUGAGUUUAACUCAGUGUGCUGCAUCACUGACGUUUCAUGCUUUUCUUCCUCUUUUAAAGACGUGUUUAACAGCUGAGCUGUUAUGUAAUCUCACAACUGUACAGUUAAUAGUGUAAAUG